GACGAGGGAUCCUAGCGUUGCUCGGAAUUAUUGGGCGUAAAGCGCGCGUAGGCGGCCACUUAAGUCGGAUGUGAAAGCCCCUGGCUCAACUGGGGAAGUGCACCCGAAACUGAAUGGCUUGAGUGCGAAAGAGGGUCGCGGAAUUCCCGGUGUAGAGGUGAAAUUCGUAGAUAUUGGGAGGAACACCGGUGGCGAAGGCGACCAUCUGGACGAAGACUGACGCUGAGGCGCGAAAGCGUGGGGAGCAAACAGG
rnacentral:rRNA from 1 species